GCGCCCGUAGCUCAAUUGGAUAGAGUGCUUGACUACGGAUCAGGAGGUUGGGGGUUCGAAUCCUCCCGGGCGCGCCA
rnacentral:tRNA from 1 species